UAAUAGAAGCCAAAUUUGAGGCGUUUCACUGUUAAUGAAUUAAUUGAUUACUUAAAUCCUAUUAA
rnacentral:tRNA from 1 species